UAAGUAGGUAGUGAAGCGUGUGGCUCAACCAUAACUCACAUUAUCUAAACUGCUAAGCUAGAAUAUAGAAGAGGUAGCUGGAAUUCCCUGUGUAGGAGUGAAAUCCGUAGAUAUAGGGAGGAACACCAAUGGCGUAGGCAGGCUACUGGUCUAUUAUUGACACUAAGGCACGAAAGCGUGGGAGCGAACGGGAUUAGAUACCCCGGUAGUCCACGCCGUAAACUAUGGAUGCUA
rnacentral:rRNA from 1 species